rnacentral:rRNA from 1 species
AGCCGCGAACGGGUGAGUAACACGUGGGUUACCUGCCUCGAUGACCGGGACAACCCGAGGAAACUCGGGCUAAUACCGGAUGUGCCCGCAAGGGGAAAGGAAGCUUCGGCCUCCGCAUCGAGAUGGGCCCGCGGCCCAUUAGCUUGUUGGUGAGGUAACGGCUCACCAAGGCUUUGAUGGGUAGCUGGUCUGAGAGGACGAUCAGCCACACUGGGACUGAGACACGGCCCAGACUCCUACGGGAGGCAGCAGUGGGGAAUCUUGCGCAAUGCGCGAAAGCGUGACGCAGCAACGCCGCGUGGGGGAAGAAGGCUUUCGGGUUGUAAACCCCUUUCAGUUGGGACGAAGCCUCAUCGGUUAAUAGCCGCGUGGGGUGACGGUACCUUCACAAGAAGCACCGGCUAACUACGUGCCAGCAGCCGCGGUAAUACGUAGGGUGCAAGCGUUGUCCGGAAUUAUUGGGCGUAAAGAGCGUGUAGGCGGCUUGAUUAGUCUGCUGUGAAAGUCCAGGGCUCAACCCUGGAAUGCCGGUGGA